GAGGAAUUGCCGCAUCGACAGCUGAUUGGUUGAUGCUUUUAAGAGUACAAUAACAAGAACGGGCGUUCCAAGAAAUAUUUCUUUUAAAUAAUUCAUAUCCAAUAACAAAACCCGCUGGACAAAGAACAGCAUUCCAUCCAACAUCAGGGUGUGAUCAGUGGGAGGAAGGGAUGUCACGGUGCUGCGCCAGACACUUCCUGUCCUGCUUCCUCCUGUUUGGUGGGUUCAGGUGUCUCUACUUCCAACUGGCUGAACUCACCUGAUGGCGUUAAUAGGGGUUAAUUUGGGACGUUUUGUCAACACUGAAUUUAACAAAGCACACCAAAAGCAAAUAAAGAUUUUUUUUUAUUUGGUAAAGGUUUGUCAACAUUUCUAUCAUUAUUAUUGGGAGGGAACAGUUUAGCUUGAUUUGAACUCCUGGGAAGUCUUCCAGUCACCAUCGGUGGAAAUGAGCUCCUUUGAACGGACCUGCAAAGGCUUCCAAGAUCACCUGCAGUCUUCAGCACACAGAUUAUCCCUGCAGCAUCCAGAACAUUUUUAUAGAUUUUCAAAGAUGAUGUAAACUUUCCUAUUGUUCUUUUAGCCCAAGCUCAUUUUCUUUGUGCUUAAAAUUUUACCAUCUUUUAUCCCCUCAUUAUUGCAGAAACAAACCAGGCCCACAAGGUGAUGCUGUGACUCCAGUGCUGGAGUUUGGAUGGUUUUCCACAGAAAAUAAAUGAUAUUCUGCCUUUCUUUAACCAUCCCAAUGACUUGCUUCCAGCCCCCCACAAACACUAUAAUAAAAGACAUGUCUGCAUUAUUAUUUAGUACACAGUUCACAGAAAACAUCCUGAUCACUUAUCAAAUUCAUAUAAAUAUGUUCUCAUCUCAACAAAGAAAACUCUUCAAAAUAUCUCCUUUGGUUUCCAACAUGACUCUUCCUGCAACAUCUGCUCUGUUUCACACAGAUGUUUCUGCAGUUAAUCCAGCGGACUUUUGUUUAAUGCUGUAUUUAAAGUUUUAUAAAGUAUGAAUUAUUGAGAGUUUGAAAAUUAGGUUAACUGCAAAAACAGAAAAAUAAUUUUUGUAAUUAAGGAGAAUUAUUUUGUAAAAAGGUUCAACUUGAGGGCAGGAAUUGAGUCUAAAUUUAUUAAAACUACAUGGAAAUGACCUCAUUUAACUCUUUUACCAACAAACUCACAUUGAACCAUAUCAACCUUUAAAGUAUGAUUUAUUUCCCUCCAUGUUUGUAUUGACCGGCUCUAUUUUGAAAGUUUUUUGAAAAACCUAGUUCCUGGCAAUUCAGAACCUUCCAGAUGUUUUUUUUCUAAAGACUAUAUUGCAAA